rnacentral:tRNA from 1 species
GAGCAGUUAGUUUAACAAAAACCAAUGAUUUCGACUCAUUAAUUCUUAAUUAUACUUAAGACUUCUCU